UUUAUAUACGCAAAACUUUCAUUAUACGUGAACUAAAUUAUGACAUCAUCAUGUUGCCCAGCAACCACAUAACAAUGGAAUAAAAAGCACAGAAAAAAACAAUACAGCAGCAUGAGCAUGUACUAGUGCAAUGACAAUGAAACAAAGCCGAGGGUUGCCAGUUAAAGUCUACUCUGAGCAUUAACUUGCUUAUGCUGCUGCUGAAGUUUUAGAUAUGAAAAUGUGUUCUGAACUUAUCUGAAAUGAAAAUGUGGUGUGAGAGGAAAGGAAAGGAGGUCUCCUGCCAAGAGGCUAGGAGCAAAAACACUGACCGUGGGAACUUUCUGCAGAAACCAACACCGACCCAACAGACACCAUCUCCCCUUGCGGCUGCUGUUAGCUGGAUGUGUCAGCUUGAUGUCACAUUACUCUCUCCAUAGCCACAGCAGGAGUCCUUAGCAACCAGCUCCACACCUGAGGACGCCCUGAAACUGGAGUCUGUGUGGUUAACUCAACCAUCCGGCCCACUCAAGACUUCAGAAGCUGGACGUUGUAAGGAAAGUGGACACUUCUAGGUCAGUUGGGAGGCCGACUGUUGCUGUGGCAUUCUGGAGAGCUGGAUUCAAAAUAUAAAUGUGCUCCAAUGGUGUGAAGUGACUAAAUGUCAAGCGCUAUGUUUGUGAUGGGGCUUUGUGCUCACAUGAGCAACGACAGAGCUGUGCUGUCAUAAACAAAACUAUGUGAAAGGUCAAGGGUUCAAAACCCUAAGAAUUUAAUGCAAAAGAAUAAUUCAGUGGAAACUGUUUAUUUAAAUGUGAAAAAAAUGGCCAAUAAGACAUCAUCAAACUGUUUACACAUUACUGUAAAAUGCAUGUUUUGGUUUUGGAAAAACAGGAGUCACAAAAAAUAAAAAGUAACGCGCCCUUUAAAUCACCAAAGUGUUACAUAUGAAGGACUUCAGUGAUGUGCUUCGUCUUUAUCUGACAGUUCAGAGUUUUAAACAGACAUUGACAAAAAAGUUGUUUUAUUCAGUUUUUAAGAUUAAAAAAAACAAACAAACUCCCUUUUAAAGCAUUAAGACGACACACAAUGAAUAAGGUAACAAUGAACGUAUUACAUGUGUGUGUUUUUAAAGCUGUAACACUCCUGAGCGAUAAUAACCUCAAAAUAAAGCAGCAGUAUUGCAGCAGAGAUCCAUCUCCAUGUUUGUUUUUUCAGUUAUGCUUAAAUGUUUCAAGGCUUUGAUAUUAACGGCAGAACAGAGUCAAAGUUUGCACUUUAGUGGCCCCACAUGGCAGAAAGGUGUCACUUUCUAGCAUUUUAACAGUUAAACCCUUCAUGAAUUUUUUGUUGUUGUAAUUUUGCCUUUUUCCGUACACCACCACAGAGGAUUUUAAAUCAAACAGUCCAGAUGUGUUUGAAGAACAGACUUCUAUCUUAAAUUUAAGGGCUUCAACAAAAAAUUUCAACUGUUUAGGAAUUACAGCCUUUUAAUACACAGUCCAGUCUCAAAAGUAAUUGGACAGUUGACUGAUGAACAAUUCCCUGCUCGUUAUUCAAUAGAAAUUCAGCAGAUAAAAGAUUUGAAGUUGCUUCCAAGUGUUAAACUUGCAUCUGAUAGC
ensembl:lncRNA